rnacentral:rRNA from 1 species
GACGAACCGUGCGAACGUUGUUCGGAAUCACUGGGCUUAAAGGGCGCGUAGGCGGUCUGCCAAGUCAGGGGUGAAAUCUUUCGGCUUAACCGGAAAAGUGCCUUUGAUACUGGCGGGCUCGAGGGAGGUAGGGGCAGAUGGAACUCCGGGUGGAGCGGUGAAAUGUGUAGAUAUCCGGAGGAACGCCGGUGGCGAAAGCGAUCUGCUGGACCUCUUCUGACGCUGAGGCGCGAAAGCCAGGGGAGCAAACGGG